CGUCCGAAGACACAUUAGUUUUCGCACUCUAACUUUAGUUUAAGUGAAUGGAUCUCAAUGAAAUUUUACCAUAAGGUUCAAUACCACAAAAGGAAGGUGGGGAUUGAUUUUGGGGGUUAUGGUACCCACAGUUAAGGAAUUAGGGGCCAAAAAGGGGCCAAAAAUAAGCAUUUUUGUAACUUCCAGACAUAACUUGUGUGUAAGUGUAUGGAUCUCUCUGACAAUGUACCACAAGGUUCCAUAUCACAAAGGGAAUGCUGGGAUUGAUUUUGGGGGUAAUUGCCUCCAAAUUUUAGGAAUUAGGGGCCAAAAAGGGGCAAAAAACAAGCAUUUUUCUAGUUUCAUGACAAUAACUUGUGUGUAAGUGUAUGGAUCUCUCUGACAUUGUAUCACAAGGUUCCAUAUCACAAAGGGAAUGCUGGGAUUGAUUUUGGGGGUAAUUGCUUCCAAAUUUUAGGAAUUAGGGGCCAAAAAGGGGCAAAAAACAAGCAUUUUUCUAGUUUCAUGACAAUAACUUGUGUGUAAGUGUAUGGAUCUCUCUGACAUUGUACCACAGGGUUCCAUAUCACAAAGGGAAUGCUGGGAUUUAUUUUGGGGGUAAUUGCCUCCAAUUUUAGGAAUUAGGGGCCAAAAAGGGGCAAAAAACAAGCAUUUUUCUAGUUUCAUGACAAUAACUUGUGUGUAAGUGUAUGGAUCUUUAUGAAAUUGUACUGCAAGGUUCCAUAUCACAAAGGGAAAGCUGGAAUUUAUUUUGGGGGUAAUUGCCUACAACGUUUAGGAAUAAGGGGCCAAACAGGGGCCAAAAAUAAGCAUUUUUCUAGUUUCCAGACAAUAACUUGUGUUCAAGUGUAUGGAUCUCUCUGAAAUUGUACUGCAAGGUACCAUACCACUUAAGGAAAGGCUGGGAUUGAUUUUGGGGGUAAUUGCCUCAAAAUUUUAGGAAUAAGGGGCCAAAAAGGGGCAAAAAACAAGCAUUCUUCUAGUUUCAGGACAAUAACUUGUGUGUUAGUGUAUGGAUCUUUCUGAAAUUGUACUACAAGGUUCCAUAUCACAAAGGGAAAGCUGGAAUUGAGUUUGGGGGUAAUUGCCCAAAACGUUUAGGAAUAAGGGGCCAAAAGGGGGCCAACAAUAAGCAUUUUUCUAGUUUCCAGACAAUAACUUGUGUUCAAGUGUAUGGAUCUCUCUGAAAUUGUACUGCAUGGUAUCAUACCACAAAGGGAAUGCUGGGAUUGAUUUUUGGGGUAAUUGCCUCAAAAAUUUAGGAAUUAGGGGCCAAAAAGGGGCAAAAAAACAAGCAUUUUUCUAGUUUCAGGACAAUAGCUUGUGUGUAAGUGUAUGGAUCUUUAUGAAAUUGUACAACAAGGUUCCAUAUCACAAAGGGAAAGCUGGGUUUGAGUUUGGGGGUAAUUGCCCUAUAUGUUUAGGAAUUUGGGGCCAAAAAGGGGCAAAAAAACAAGCAUUUUUCUAGUUUCCAGACAAUAACUUGUGUUCAAGUGUAUGGAUCUCUCUGAAAUUGUACUGCAAGGCACCAUACAUUGUAACACAGAGGGAAGGUUGGGAUUGAGUUUGGGGGUGAUGAAUCAUAAGGGGGUUCAAAAAAUUUGAGGGGGGAUUUUUUUUUCCU